AUGAAGCCAGAGCUGGUUAAGUGUCUCCUACUUCUCCCCUCCAAGCCUGUCAUGAUGACAGUGCCUCCGCAACCCACCACAUACAAAUCCCAGAGCCUGGCAGCAAUCUCUCCCACCUGUGUCGUACCCAUACAUAGAUAUAUAUUUGAAUAUAGGGUAUGUGAGGUGAGAUGCAACCCCUCUCUCCAAUGCACACAGAUCUGGGGAGGCUAUGAGGUGAGGGCCUGGCCUGAGAGUCAGCCCUUCUGUGUGGGAAAACAAAAUGGCGUCAGUGGGUGUUACCAGCACGGGGAGGCCCAGUGCCUCUGUGGUACCUCCUGUGCCUGCUUCUGGAUUCCCUCAGGAUGGGAUUUGAGGCAUAAACGACUUGAGGGGAAAGCUGACGGAGCCAUUAUCAGUGGGAAGCCUACUGUUAGUGUGCUGGGAGGGCUGCACCAUGACUGGGACAAGUGUCUGCCCCAUCACUUCUGUAGGAAGGUGGAGGAAAAUCCCUUGGGGCUCUCGAAAAACUGAAAACUUUUGUUUUUACAAGGAAGGGGUUGUGCCUAUUGCACAGCUGGGCAGGCCUUCCUGUGUACUUCUGCUUUCCUCUGAAAGAUGCCACCCAGUAGCCAUAGCUGGCUGGGAGCUCCUGCAGCUGCACCAACUGCCAGCUUCUGUGUCCCCUCUUGAUGGACGGGUUGAUAGACUGCGAGGACAGGAAGGAGAAACCUGCAGAGUCAUCGCCUUAUGCAGCAGCUGAAGCCACAACUGCCUGCAGGAACAGAAGAGUGCAGUGGGGGCUUUAACUUCCUGAAGCAGCCUCCUAGAAACUGUGGGGAGAGAAUAAUCACAGGGAGGAAAGAAAGGCAGAGGAACUGGAACUAGUGGUUUGGGCCUCCCCCCAGCCCAGAGAAACCAUGGUGCUUUUGUUCUGACACUGCCUCCCUCUGCUGAACUGCAGUCCUGAAACAGUAAGAGCUGCAGCCUGGGGUUUUGAAGCACAUAGCAGGAAGAAAUAGGAGGUACCCCUGAUGUAAUACAACGUGUAUUUGCUUCUUAUUGGAAAAGUGCAUAAGCAAAAAAUAAAUUUAAAAAAGGUAUGAAAAUGAUACA
rnacentral:lncRNA from 1 species